rnacentral:rRNA from 1 species
CCAAUAGCGUAUAUUAAAGUUGUUGCAGUUAAAAAGCUCGUAGUUGAAUUUUGGGUCUGGCCGGGCGGUCCGCCCUCUGGGUGAGCACUGUUCCGACGCCGGGCCUAUCCUUCUGGUGAGUCGGCAUGUCCUUUAUUGGGUGUGUUGGGGAACCAGGACCAUUACCUUGAAAAAAUUAGAGUGUUCAAAGCAGGCGUAUGCUCGAAUACAUUAGCAUGGAAUAAUGAAAUAGGACGCGUGGUGCUAUUUUGUUGGUUUCUAGAACCGCCGUAAUGAUUAAUAGGGAUAGUUGGGGGCAUUAGUAUUCAAUUGUCAGAGGUGAAAUUCUUGGAUUUAUUGAAGACUAACUUCUGCGAAAGCAUUUGCCAAGGAUGUUUUCAUUAAUCAAGAACGAAAGUUAGGGGAUCGAAGACGAUCAGAUACCGUCGUAGUCUUAACCAUAAACUAUGCCGACUAGGAAUCGGGCGAUGUUAUUCUCAUGACUCGCCCGGCGCCUUAUG